rnacentral:ncRNA from 2 species
CUCAUACAUAGCGCUGAUGGUUUUUCCGGGGGACACUCCUGGAAAAUGAAAAGGGAAUACGGUGAGGUGUAGCCAACAGGCGCCAAAUCCGUGACUGCCCCCGCAACUGUGAGCGGAGAGCAUUGCUGCAACAAGCCACUGCCCCAAGGGGUGGGAAGGCGUAGCAAGGCAUCGACCCGCGAGUCAGGAGACCUGCCAUCUAGUAGUUCACCAA